AAAGUUUGACAGACAAUCGCUGGUGAUGCUUAAGGCAUCACGAGAGGAAAGUCCGGGCUCCAUAGGGCAGGGUGCUGGAUAACGUCCAGUCAGCGCGAGUUGAAGGAUAGUGCCACAGAAAUGGACCGCCGAUGGCUGCGCAAGCAGCACAGGCAAGGAUGGAACCGAGGUGUAAGAGACCCCGAGGAACGCUGGUGACUUCGUUCCUGGUAAACCCCACUUGGAGCAAGACCUAAUGGAACGCAGCUUCUCUGUGCAAGGAGAGCAGCCUUAGCCCGAGGCGCGUUUAGGUUGGUCGCUGGAGCCGCUCAGCAAUGUUCGGCCUAGAUAGAUGAUUGUCGUUUGGAGUGGGAGGGUUGUUCCCGUAUGAACCACAAUAGACACAGAACCCGGCUUACGGCAGACUUUCAGA
rnacentral:RNase_P_RNA from 2 species